UACGUAGGGUGCUAGCGUUGUCCGGAUUUAUUGGGCGUAAAGAGCUCGUAGGCGGCUUGUCGCGUCGAAUGUGAAAUCUCGGGGCUCAACUCCGAGCUUGCAUUCGAUACGGGCAGGCUAGAGUUCGGUAGGGGAGACUGGAAUUCCUGGUGUAGCGGUGAAAUGCGCAGAUAUCAGGAGGAACACCGGUGGCGAAGGCGGGUCUCUGGGCCGAUACUGACGCUGAGGAGCGAAAGCGUGGGGAGCGAACAGG
rnacentral:rRNA from 1 species